GACGAACGCUGGCGGCGUGCUUAACACAUGCAAGUCGAACGGAAAGGCCCUGCUGAUGUGUGGUGCUCGAGUGGCGAACGGGUGAUUAACACGUGAGUAACCUGCCCUGGGCUUUGUGAUAACUUCAGGAAACUGGGGCUAAUACCGGAUAGGAGCUCCUGCUGCAUGGCGGGGGUUGGAAAGUUUCGGCGGUGGGGGAUGGACUCGGGGCGUAUCAGCUUGUUGGUGGGGUAGUGGCUUACCAAGGCUUUGCGGGGUAGCCGGGCUGAGAGGGGGACCGGCCAGAUUGGGACGGGGCUACGGCACAGACUCAUACGGGAGGGAGCGGUGGGGAAGGGUGCAUAAUGGGAGGAAGCCUGAUGCGGCAACGCCGCGUGGGGGAUGACGGGCAUCGGGUUGUAAAGCGCAUUCGCAUGUGACGAAGAGUGAGUGACGGUAAUGGGUAAAGAAGCACCGGCUAACUACGUG
rnacentral:rRNA from 1 species